rnacentral:rRNA from 1 species
CCUACGGGAGGCAGCAGUGGGGAAUAUUGCGCAAUGGGCGAAAGCCUGACGCAGCGACGCCGCGUGAGGGAUGAAGGUCUUCGGAUCGGAAACCUCUGUCAGCAGGGAAGAACGGUCACGGGGCUAAGCAGCAGUGAAUGGACGGUACCUGCAAAGGAAGCACCGGCUAACUCCGUGCCAGCAGCCGCGGUAAGACGGAGGGUGCGAGCGUGACUCGGAAUUACUGGGCGUAAAGCGCGCGUAGGCGGUAUGUCAAGUCAAGGGUGAAAUCCCCGCGCUCAACGUGGGAACUGCCUUUGAAACUGUCAAACUGGAGUGUGUGCGAGGCUAGUUGACUUCCCGGUGUAGGCGU